rnacentral:rRNA from 1 species
AGUGAACGCUGGCGGUAGGCCUAACACAUGCAAGUCGAACGGCAGCACAGUAAGAGCUUGCUCUUACGGGUGGCGAGUGGCGGACGGGUGAGGAAUACAUCGGAAUCUACUUUUUCGUGGGGGAUAACGCAGGGAAACUUACGCUAAUACCGCAUACGACCUACGGGUGAAAGCAGGGGAUCUUCGGACCUUGCGCGAUUGAAUGAGCCGAUGUCGGAUUAGCUAGUUGGCGGGGUAAAGGCCCACCAAGGCGACGAUCCGUAGCUGGUCUGAGAGGAUGAUCAGCCACACUGGAACUGAGACACGGUCCAGACUCCUACGGGAGGCAGCAGUGGGGAAUAUUGGACAAUGGGCGCAAGCCUGAUCCAGCCAUACCGCGUGGGUGAAGAAGGCCUUCGGGUUGAAAAGCCCUUUUGUUGGGAAAGAAAAGCAGCAGGUUAAUACCCCGCUGUUCUGACGGUACCCAAAGAAUAAGCACCGGCUAACUUCGUG